rnacentral:lncRNA from 1 species
GCAGGGUAUGUCGUCGGACGUCCGAAGUCACUACGCCUCCACCGUCACCGUGGGAGAUAUCGAACCUUGGGUCUCCCUCGUCAACAACUUCCCCGGCUGUGACGGCAUGGACACGGACGAGGGCAACAAGGCCUGCCGCAUCUAUCCCAUUUUGAACGGCAAGGACCGCGACCUGGUUGCCACUGCUGCUAAGAAGGCUGGCAAGCACGACAAGCCCAAGUACUGCGAUUUCUGCGGCUAAUCGCAUAUCACACAUGCGCAUGGUGGUGAUCCUUCGUUUCUACUAGCGGUACAUCAAGACGUGGAUGAACGUAGCUGCCAGGGUGUGAGGCUUAAUUGUAUGGUCAAGCCGCAUAUGCAUUCUCUUUUGAUGUGUGUGAUCAUAGGCAAGCAUGUGUAUGGCGGUAGGGGUAUUACACAUGGCGGAAGUCAGUAGAGCAUCAUAGGCCAUCAUGCACAUGGGGGAAGAGGCCGGGGGACUCAGUGCAGGUUAGUAUCGGGUCAGUUGCUGUCGGGAGGCGGAUGGUACAGCGCCACCUGCAUGGGUAUAGCUGCACAAGAGCUGGAGUCAUCACCUGAAGACAGUGGUGUGGUCAUCAGUGAAUUUCCUCUGGAACACAAGCAAACUCGUGGCUUGGUGGCUGUCCGUUGUAAUGAACACGCAAUUCUCUGUCUAGGUACCACAGCUGCAUGAUCUCCCACAAGCAUGCUCUCCGCUUGGCUGCCAAAGCAGGCAGGGAUUCAGAACACCGAGUUAGUCGUAGUCGUAGUCGUACGGCGCCGAGUUGGUGUGUGCGGUGCCGUGCUGGCGCUGCUCCAGUUGCUUGGCGACGUACUCACCGCCGUUGUCGCUGUGCAGCGUGUGCACCCGUGCGUGGUUCGGAUGGCGGGCCUCCAGCUGUGUCACCAUGUCCUGCAGCACUUCGCCCAUUGGCUCUUGCUGGCCAGCGUGCGGACGGCGGACAGACCGGUGGCACCAUCCAGCAGCGUCAGCAAGUAGCGUGCACCCCCAUCGGCCCAUGGUCGGCAUGGGGCCACACAGGUCAGAGUGUACGACCUCCAGUGCGUGCUACGGCCGGUUGCCGCGGCUGGGGUGGGCGGUUGCGGUGGCCUUCACGGUGACACAGGCCUCGCAGACGGCCUCCACCGCCUGUCAUAGUGCCGCUGGAGUGACCUGUGGCCCCUGCACCAGCUGCUUGCUGAUCAGCUGCUUCAGCACGCGGUAACCGAGGUGACCGUACUGGCAGUGCAGGCGCUGUGCUGCCGCAAGUUCGGCGACUGAGCAUUCAGUGGCCCCGGGGCUGCCGUUGCCUAGUUGCCCUUUGCCGUUGCUGUCGCCGUUCGGUUGGCCUCCACCGGUGUGGCUGCCGGCGGUGCUGCCGCCACGGGUGCUGGUGAUGGUGGCGGCACUUCCGCCAGCGCUGCUACCUGCGGCCUGGCCCCUGCCAGCUCUGUCGCCCGUGGUGCUGAGGGCAUUGACGGUGACGUCGGUCGGCGCCUGCAGGUCCACGUCCAUGCAUAGUGCCCACGCUCACUCCAUGCGGUUAUAGACGGGCUGUUGUGCAGGAGGCUGAUGCAUAAGAACUAGCAGCCCGUCUUGUCCAUGCUGAACGUGACCGAGUAGCCGCGUGUCAUGAGGUCUGUCGACCUCUCACGAGGUCGACAGACGUCAGGGUGAGGACCGAGCUGGGGACGUGCAGCACGUUGUGCAGCCGGACAUUGUGUCCAUCACGAGUAUGCAGGUGCAGCUUCCCUGUUCCCACGACAUGUUGCCCCACCCCAUUAGCCGUGGCGCGCCGGCGGGGACAUGGUUGUGCAGCAGGGAGCGGUCACCCGUGAGGUGGUAUGGUGAGCCUGAGUCGAAGGUGACUCGUGAGCUGCUUCCACUGCGGUCGAUGACCAGCACUGGGGCACGGCUCUGGCGUGGGCUGCUUCUGCUGCUGCCCGAGCCGCUGCCACUGCUGCCGCCUGCAGUGUCGCCACCGUUGCGGUGGCUGUUGCCGCAUCGAGCACGGCCACAUUCACGUGCUCCGUCGGCCCUGCUGUUACCGCCAUUGCCGCUGCCAGUGCCCCUGCCGCCACCGUCACGGUGGCGGUUGCAGCUGCCUCAACUGAUGUUGCCGGCGGCGUGCAGCUGCUCGAAUGUGUUGCUGCGGUGAAGGCCGACGGACUCGUCCGCCUGCUUAACGGGACACUCGCGAACGUAGUGACCAGGCUGUCCGCAGUAGUAGCAGGUGUCGCCGGCCCCCACGGCGCCUGCAGCACCGGCGGCGCUGCCGAUUCCACUGGCAGCACGGCCAGGGCCGACAGCUCCCACCAGGCUUGUCUUGCUUGCUUGGGUCUUAAGGUUGUUCUCCUUCUCACGCAGCAUGAGCACGAGCUGUGGGGUCGUUAAGCUGGGCUGAUACAUCGUGAACUCGACGGUGAUGAUGCACUGCGGAGGCAGGCCAUGGAGAAUGGCGUGGUGCAUCGUGCUCUCGUCCCACUGGCCGCCGGCCACGAUUAUAUUGCUACGGAGCUGCUCUGCCUGCUGAACGAAUCAGUGGUCGUCUUCCCAUCGCGCAUGCUCAGCUGCUUCUGCGGCUCCAACAGGCUCAGCCGGGCCUGGGAUGCAGAACGCAAUUGUUGCUGUAAGAGCUGCAUGGCGGCGAGAAUGGUCUGGCAAUUCCUGAGCAACUGCUUGAUGGGCAGUUCACAGGACAGAUGCAGGUAGCCGAGCGCCUGUGCGUCCUCCUCCAGGGCGUCUUGGGCGUUGCGGCCCGGAGGCGACGGGUGUUGAUGUAGUCUUCAACUUGGAUGUUGCAAAGAAAUCGCCUAAGUCGCCGAGCCACUGGGAGUAGUUCGACCCAUCCGAGAGGAGGACACCCUUACAUCCCUUCCCCAUGAUGGUUGCCUAGCGAGCAUGACUGAUCAAGCCGUGUUCCCCGCCGCCUUUCUGGCAACUAGUUGAUGGUAUGAUGCAUCGUUGUUGCGGCGUACGAUGGCUCCUACUGCGAUUUAUGCCCUUUCAGCCUCCCAGGCAUGUCCCCACAACUGCCUCACAGCCACCGACACAUCUCACGGCGGGGGUUUAAUUGUGUGCGUGUUGGAUGCAGCGUCCCCGCCACAUUCCGGCAAAUAGUUGAUGGCGUCAUACAUCGUUGGCACGGUGUAAGACGGUGCCUGAUGCGAUUUAUGCGUCCGGAAGCCCUUUCAGCCUCCCAGGCAUGUCCCCACAACUGCCUCACAGCCAGCGGGGGUCUAAUUGCGUGCGCGUUCGCAUGCGGCAUAUGUCCCGCCGCCUUUCUGGCAUCUAUUGAUGGUAUGAUGAAUCGUUGUGCGAUGUAAGGCUGCGCCUGAUGCGAUCUCGUUUGCGGAAGGGCCCCCUGAGUGCUGCCAAGCAUGUUAUUCUCUCAUGAGACUGCGUGAAGGUUCACGAACUGAGUAUGCGACCAACACAUAAAACAUCGCAUGUGAAUUGUUAUGUCAUGCGAUUAAUCAAAGUAAAUCGUGUGUGUUUGGUGUGUGUUUGGUGCGUUAGGCCGCAGUAAACUUGACGCAACGAGCCUUAAACGCAACAUUUGUUUGCAUGCGAAUUGCGUUGCGACAUGUGUGCGUUUGGUGUGUGUUAGGCCGCGUUAAGCUUUACGCAAUCAGCCUUCAUACGCAUGAAACGCAACAUGUAUUCGCAUGCGAAUAGCCUUGCGGACUGUAUGCGUUUGAUGUGCGAUUGGACGCGUAUUGCUUUACGCAUUGUCUCCCCACACGCACGAAUCGCAAUAUGAAAUCGCAUGCGUAUCGCCUUGCUACACAUGCGCGUAUGCUUCGCGUUUCAACAUACGCACGGAUGAAUUGCUCAAGUCGACCAAAACGACACAAGUUUAUUUCCAAAUGAACCUUUAUAAUCUGAAAAUUAUAAAAUUUAAAAAUUUUAGCCAGGAGGGCCGAUUUCUGCUUUUUCUUAGCCGUUGUGCGUUAGCUCUUUGCGUUACAAAAAUAUGCUGAUUCGCACCUAACUCUAAGAUUCGCACCGUCACGCGAACUAACGCGAACUAACGCGGACUUAAGGCGAUCACCCGUCGUCAUAGUGUGUCGUGGUCAUGGCGAGCAGGACCACAAUGCUGAACGUCAGCGAUUGUACCUACAAUGACAACAAUUACUAGCUUUAUAUUCACUAGCAGUCCAAGGCUUUAAUGAAUGUAUUGACUCAAGGAUCAGUCUAUCACAACGAUAACGGCGAAGGAAAAGAAGCCAAACUAACGUUACAAUUUGUGAAAAGAAGAAGUCAUAUCUAAUACAAAGUAUUUGUUAUUUAUGUACUGGGUUAAUUACUGGCUGAACAGCGACGCAGAUCGGUCGUGCGAUGAUGCCGUGCGAAAUCUUGCCGCCGCCGAAAAGUGCGUAACAACACUACCUACAUUUUCGUUUUUAUGGCAUUGUAAAUUUGCAUUAGAUUAAGUUGGCCGAUCAUUGGCGAGCGCAAUAAUGAGCGGUAGCAAACAUCUAUGACCUCAUCUCCUCAUCUCAGCGACUAGCCUUAAUCUCGCUUUACCGACUAAUUCGGCUUCUCCCCGGGAAAUCGAACUCAGGACUUUAAACCGCUAAUUGCAAUAGUGUCAACCCAGACCAGGCCAGGGAUGAUCCUACACACGCUGAGAAGCACAUCGGCAGCGCCAACGUAACACAACGAACUUGUUAAUGACGUGGUCUGUAGCUCAGUUGCAAGGCGUGAACACCGACCUAUGGCCCUUGUUCCUGUGGCGAGUCCACCUCACCCAUUUAUUAUAAUGGUGGCGAAUGUCGGCAUUGCCCGUACUGUAGUAUGCUCAAGAUGACACAACCAUGGAUGGUGGUAUCGAAAGAUGCCGGUUGACACAAGUUGAAAGAAUAAAUAGUCGUUGUAGCAUCCACUUGGGCCUCGCGCCGAUAAGUUCCCAGUACGACUGGGCGGUGCGAUGUUCAGUUUACCAUAGUUCACAGGAACUACUCUCGUCCGGUGAAGCAGACGAACCAGGAACGCAGAUUCCAGCUUUACGUAAAGGUAAAGCCCCCGCCCAUACGCCGGUAUGGACUUCCGCAGCAGUGCGGCAUUUGGACGGCGAACUCGACUAGCAGCAGUCGCAAGCCGCCAAUAAACUGAUAUAAGUAUAAGUUAAACCUGUGAUCAACGACGGCGGAUACAAACAGGUAUUAGUUAAUAACAACAGUGUUAGAACUGAACGGACUAACGGUCAGAUGCCCGUUAGGCAACCGAGCCUAGAGCUUAACAGUAAGCAUACAGGAUACAACACGUACCCCUCAUCAGCUUGCCAGCGUUAGACGCGACGAUGCCUAGCGUGUAGACGGCUUCUGUGCCGGCGUCCCAUCCAGUGCAAGGUUCAGAUAGCACAGUCCCGGAACGCACCACGAAUCAGUCGAGAAAUUCGCACCAUCCAACCAACAACUGAAUGGGGGAUUUAAGCGAAGGAUGCCACAUAUUAUUGUGCAAUUGCCCCAUACUCUCAAAUUAGAAUUGUCUCUUUUCCAGAUAAAUCUUUGCAGUGAUCCGCUUGGGGUCUGGAGUUAUAAUUGAGAAUGGCUGCGAGGGUUGUGUUUGGCAUUCUAUUGCUGGCGUUGAUGGCGCAGCAGGCCGCAGCGGGGGGAAACGGCGACCAGGGGCGCAGCUGGCCCACGGAGUUGAAGGAGGAUUUUCAGGUACAUAGGAAGAUCGGUAAAUCGGAAAUAGGUAAAUAGAUAGUUAGGAAGGUAAGGUUGAUGUACCCAACCUUUACCACUUGACCCCGUCGCCUCACUCCCUCAUUCGCCAUUCCAUGCCCCCUUCCCCCCUAGGACACAUACACCAUCACACUAAAAAAUACAUGCACGACGCAACCGGGGCCCCACAUGUUCAUGCGUUGCAGUUUGAGCUCCGCAACAUCUACAGCAACCGGCAGAACGGCAGUCGCUACAACUUCCUCACCAAAUACCGCUAUCCCAGCAGCUCUGGUGGGUGCAGUACAUUCGCAGGGAACUGACAAAGCCGUCCGGACGAGGCAGGGGGCCGCGUUUCGCUCCAUUCGGAGGCAGCGGCGCUGCGCGCCGAAUGCUUUGCCUUCCUGCGUGCUGCAACGCGCUGCGUUGUGCUGCGCUGUGCUGUGCUCGUCUACUGCAGAGGCAUUCGAUUUCCGUGAGGCGGAAGAGUUAAUUCUGAAGUUCGUGCCUGCCGGUGGCAUGGGCAUCCCAGGCGACGCAUUCACUGAAGUCCUUUGCCUUGACAUCGCUAAGGCGCUCUGGGCGAAGUUUAACCUUGUCGGCUUGAGCUUCCGCAUUGAGGUGCAGGUGUGUGGGGGGCCCUGUGUGCGGGUGAUGGCGGCUAAUGUGAGGCCGCCUCAUCAGCCCCCGUUGUCCCUAAAGGGAAUGUAUUUCCCUUCGGGGUUAGCUAGGUUCAGCUAGGUUUAGCUAGGUUUAGCUAGGUUUAGCUAGGUUUAGCUAGGGCGAAUGAGACCUCGAGAUGCUGAUGCAAAGGGCCCUGACUACUUACGAUUACAAACCAAUCAGGAAGGAUUUAGGACGAUGUGGAUUGACCGGGCGUAGCUGGGCCUCGCCAUGCCGCGUGCUGUACCGUGAUACGGCAAAUGGCGCGCAUCUGUGUCCUCGUUUAUAUGUUUGUAGUACGGCACCGGAAUCUGGUUGUUUCUGGUCAUUAAUGCCAGGGGUCGCGGCUGCGGUCGCAGCGCCCACGCUACCCACCCAAGCUGACCAUCUUCCUUCGAUGCCAUUCAAAAAUGUAACCGGCGCCAACUGGUUCACCCACCCUUCGCUUGCGUACUUUUUGGCCUUCCUGGCUCCAUUCGUGCUUUGUAUUUGACGUACAUACAUGCAGGGUAUGUCGUCGGACGUCCGAAGUCACUACGCCUCCACCGUCACAGUGGGAGAUAUCGAACCUUGGGUCUCCCUCGUCAACAACUUCCCCGGCUGUGACGGCAUGGAUACGGACGAGGGCAACAAGGCCUGCCGCAUCUAUCCCACUUUGAACGGCAAGGACCGCGACCUGGUUGCCACUGCUGCUAAGAAGGCUGGCAAGCACGACAAGCCCAAGUACUGCGAUUUCUGCGGCUAAUCGCAUAUCACACAUGC